GACAGAGGAUGCAAGCGUUAUCCGGAAUGAUUGGGCGUAAAGCGUGCGUAGGCGGUUCGUUAAGUCUGUUGUGAAAGCCCCGGGCUCAACCUGGGAAUGGCAAUGGAUACUGGCGAGCUAGAGUGUGUCAGAGGAUGGUGGAAUUCCCGGUGUAGCGGUGAAAUGCGUAGAGAUCGGGAGGAACAUCAGUGGCGAAGGCGGCCAUCUGGGACAACACUGACGCUGAGGCACGAAAGCGUGGGGAGCAAACAGG
rnacentral:rRNA from 1 species